CGGCGCGACAUGUAAAAAAAACCUACCCUUUUUUACAAAAUACUCAAUAACUCAAAAAUAAAAUUUUGAGUCAUCACCAAAAAGUAUACAGAUCUUUAGAUUAAUAUAACAAAGAAGCGUGUAAAGUUUUAAACAAUAAUCAUAAAUCGUUUUUGAGAUUCAGCACGACAUGUAAAAAAACCCUCCCCCUUUUUUACAAAAUACUCAAUAACUCAAAAAUGAAAUUUUGAAUCAUCACCAAAAAGUAUACAGAUCUUUAGAUUAAUAUAAAAAAGAAGUGUGUAAAGUUUUAAGCAAUAAUCAUAAAUUGUUUUUGAGAUACGGCGCGACAUGUAAAAAAACCCUCCCCCCUUUUUUACAAAAUACUCAAAAACUCAAAAAUGAAAUUUUGAAUCAUCACCAAA
rnacentral:lncRNA from 1 species